UACGGAGGAUCCAAGCGUUAUCCGGAUUUAUUGGGUUUAAAGGGUGCGUAGGCGGCCUGUUAAGUCAGGGGUGAAAGACGGUGGCUCAACCAUCGCAGUGCCCUUGAUACUGACGGGCUUGAAUGGACUAGAGGUAGGCGGAAUGAGACAAGUAGCGGUGAAAUGCAUAGAUAUGUCUCAGAACACCGAUUGCGAAGGCAGCUUACUAUGGUCUUAUUGACGCUGAGGCACGAAAGCGUGGGGAUCAAACAGG
rnacentral:rRNA from 1 species